rnacentral:misc_RNA from 1 species
AAAUGCGAUAAGUAAUGUGAAUUGCAGAAUUCAGUGAAUCAUCGAAUCUUUGAACGCACCUUGCGCCCGUCAGCAUUCUGGCGGGCAUGCCUGUUCGAGCGUCAUUUCAACCCUCAGGACCCCCCUUUCGCGGGGAGGGACCUGGCGUUGGGGAUCGGCCCGCCCCCCGUGGCGGCGCCGUCCCCGAAAUCUAGUGGCGGUCUCGCUGCAGCCUCCCCUGCGUAGUAGUUACAACCUCGCAUCGGAGCGCGGCGCGGCCACGCCGUAAAACCCCCGACUUUCUGAACGUUGACCUCGGAUCAGGUAGGAAUACCCGCUGAACUUAAGC